GGGCGAGAUCCGCGGUCAGGUCGGGAUCACGGCCAACGCGCGGGCCGCUCUCACUGCGCGCCAGGAGGUCCCGCGGCCGAAGGGGCGCGUCAACCGCGCUCGCGGGGCGUUCACCGCCACCGUCACGAAGUCCGGCCCCACCGCCUCGAUGACGUGGCGGCUGACCUUCAGCCGGCUGACUGGCCGAGCCACAGCUGCCCACAUCCACACCGGCGCGCGCGGACGGUCGGGACCGGUCGCGGUGCCGCUGUGUGGGCCGUGCCGGAGCGGCGUGCGGAGGACCGUGACGCUUCAGGCUUCGGUGCUCGCGGCGCUCGAAGCGGGCCGCGCGUACGUGAACAUCCAUACGCGGCGCAACCCGGCCGGCGAGAUCCGCGGUCAGAUCGGCGCCGUUCCCCUC
rnacentral:misc_RNA from 1 species